rnacentral:tRNA from 1 species
CCGAUAUAGCUCAGCCGGCCAGAGCGCGUGAUUUGUAAUCUCGAGGUCGUGGGUUCGACUCCCUCUAUCGG